UGAGGAAUAUUGGUCAAUGGUCGAGAGCCUGAACCAGCCAAGUCGCGUGAAGUAAGACAGUCCUAAGGAUUGUAAACUUCUUUUAUACGGGAAUAACGGGCGAUACGAGUAUUGCAUUGAAUGUACCGUCAGAAUAAGCAUCGGCUAACUCCGUGCCAGCAGCCGCGGUAAUACGGAGGAUGCGAGCGUUAUCCGGCUUUAUUGGGUUUAAAGGGUGCGUAGGUUGUUCGGUAAGUCAGCGGUGAAACCUGAGCGCUCAACGUUCAGCCUGCCGUUGAAACUGACGAGCUUGAGUUCAGGGGCGGCAGGCGGAAUUCGUGGUGUAGCGGUGAAAUGCAUAGAUAUCACGAGGAACUCCGAUUGCGAAGGCAGCUUGCCAUACUGCGACUGACACUGAAGCACGAAGGCGUGGGUAUCAAACAGG
rnacentral:rRNA from 1 species